AUUGAACGCUGGCGGCAUGCCUUACACAUGCAAGUCGAACGGUAACAGGUCUUCGGAUGCUGACGAGUGGCGAACGGGUGAGUAAUACAUCGGAACGUGCCCGAUCGUGGGGGAUAACGGAGCGAAAGCUUUGCUAAUACCGCAUACGAUCUACGGAUGAAAGCAGGGGACCGCAAGGCCUUGCGCGGACGGAGCGGCCGAUGGCAGAUUAGGUAGUUGGUGGGAUAAAGCUUACCAAGCCGACGAUCUGUAGCUGGUCUGAGAGGACGACCAGCCACACUGGGACUGAGACACGGCCCAGACUCCUACGGGAGGCAGCAGUGGGGAAUUUUGGACAAUGGGCGAAAGCCUGAUCCAGCCAUGCCGCGUGCAGGAUGAAGGCCUUCGGGUUGUAAACUGCUUUUGUACGGAACGAAAAGACUCCUUCUAAUAAAGGGGGUUCAUGACGGUACCGUAAGAAUAAGCACCGGCUAACUACGUG
rnacentral:rRNA from 1 species